AACGAACGCUGGCGGCAGGCUUAACACAUGCAAGUCGAGCGAGGACUUCGGUCCUAGCGGCGGACGGGUGAGUAACGCGUGGGAACGUGCCCUUCCCUCCGGGAUAGCCCUGGGAAACUGGGAGUAAUGCCGGAUGCGCCCGAGAGGGGAAAGAUUUAUCGGGGAAGGAUCGGCCCGCGUUGGAUUAGGUAGUUGGUGGGGUAACGGCCUACCAAGCCGACGAUCCAUAGCUGGUUUGAGAGGAUGAUCAGCCACACUGGGACUGAGACACGGCCCAGACUCCUACGGGAGGCAGCAGUGGGGAAUCUUGGACAAUGGGGGAAACCCUGAUCCAGCCAUGCCGCGUGAUCGAUGAAGGUCUUAGGACUGCAAAAUUCUUUCACCGGGGACGAUAAUGACGGUACCCGGGGAAGAAGCCCCGGCUAACUUCGUGCCAGCAGCCGCCGUAACAC
rnacentral:rRNA from 1 species